ACGUUUGGAAACGAACGCUAAUACCCUAUAUGCCUUUAAGACUUAAGUCUGCAAGGGAAAUAUUUAUAGCUUCAAGAUCGGCCUGUACGGUAUCAGUUAGUUGGUGAGGUAAUGGCUCACCAAGACAAUGACGCCUAACUGGUUUGAGAGGAUGAUCAGUCACACUGGAACUGAGACACGGUCCAGACUCCUACGGGAGGCAGCAGUGGGGAAUAUUGCACAAUGGGGGAAACCCUGAUGCAGCAACGCCGCGUGGAGGAUGACACAUUUCGGUGCGUAAACUCCUUUUAUAUAGGAAGAUAAUGACGGUACUAUAUGAAUAAGCACCGGCUAACUCCGUGCCAGCAGCCGCGGUAAUACGGAGGGUGCAAGCGUUACUCGGAAUCACUGGGCGUAAAGAGCGUGUAGGCGGAUAGUUAAGUUUGAAGUGAAAUCCUGUGGCUCAACCAUAGAACUGCUUUGAAAACUGAUUAUCUAGAAUAUGGGAGAGGUAGAUGGAAUUUCUGGUGUAGGGGUAAAAUCCGUAGAGAUCAGAAGGAAUACCGAUUGCGAAGGCGAUCUACUGGAACAUUAUUGACGCUGAGACGCGAAAGCG
rnacentral:rRNA from 1 species